rnacentral:misc_RNA from 1 species
ACACCUCAACUCUCGUGGUCUGCCAUGAUGAGCUUGGACUUUGGGGGUCUUGCCGGCCCAGCGUCGGCUCCUCUCAAAUGAAUCAGCUUGCCAGUGUAUGGUGGCGUCACAGGUGUGAUAACUAUCUACGCAUGUGUUCCCCGCCGUGUAACCUUCAGCGAUGGAGGUUCGCUGGAGCUCAUAGACGUCUCUCCUCUGCGAGGACAGCUAUUUGAAC